CUAUAAGUGAAUGUAGAACGAUCGGUUCCUUGGACUCGGAAGUUCAAUCGCUCUCAUCGUUCGAUCAAGACUUGCUUAUUAGUGGUGAGAAAUUGGUGAGGAUGAAGCGAGAUGUAAUUAUAAAACCAGGGAAUGGAUGUCCCAGUGGUUAUAAACGUUUGGGUUCAGUAUGUCUACCGAAAUCAAAAAUCCACGGUAAUAAAUAU
rnacentral:misc_RNA from 1 species